rnacentral:rRNA from 1 species
GAGUUUGAUCAUGGCUCAGAUUGAACGCUGGCGGCAUGCCUUACACAUGCAAGUCGAACGGCAGCAUGAUCUAGCUUGCUAGAUUGAUGGCGAGUGGCGAACGGGUGAGUAAUACAUCGGAACGUGCCCUGUAGUGGGGGAUAACUAGUCGAAAGAUUAGCUAAUACCGCAUACGACCUGAGGGUGAAAGUGGGGGACCGCAAGGCCUCAUGCUAUAGGAGCGGCCGAUGUCUGAUUAGCUAGUUGGUGGGGUAAAGGCCCACCAAGGCGACGAUCAGUAGCUGGUCUGAGAGGACGAUCAGCCACACUGGGACUGAGACACGGCCCAGACUCCUACGGGAGGCAGCAGUGGGGAAUUUUGGACAAUGGGGGCAACCCUGAUCCAGCAAUGCCGCGUGUGUGAAGAAGGCCUUCGGGUUGUAAAGCACUUUUGUCCGGAAAGAAAUCGCACUUACUAAUAUUAGGUGUGGAUGACGGUACCGGAAGAAUAAGGACCGGCUAACUACGUGCCAGCAGCCGCGGUAAUACGUAGGGUCCAAGCGUUAAUCGGAAUUACUGGGCGUAAAGCGUGCGCAGGCGGUUGUGCAAGACCGAUGUGAAAUCCCCGGGCUUAACCUGGGAAUUGCAUUGGUGACUGCACGGCUAGAGUGUGUCAGAGGGGGGUAGAAUUCCACGUGUAGCAGUGAAAUGCGUAGAGAUGUGGAGGAAUACCGAUGGCGAAGGCAGCCCCCUGGGAUAACACUGACGCUCAUGCACGAAAGCGUGGGGAGCAAACAGGAUUAGAUACCCUGGUAGUCCACGCCCUAAACGAUGUCAACUAGUUGUUGGGGAUUCAUUUCCUUAGUAACGUAGCUAACGCGUGAAGUUGACCGCCUGGGGAGUACGGUCGCAAGAUUAAAACUCAAAGGAAUUGACGGGGACCCGCACAAGCGGUGGAUGAUGUGGAUUAAUUCGAUGCAACGCGAAAAACCUUACCUACCCUUGACAUGCCACUAACGAAGCAGAGAUGCAUUAGGUGCUCGAAAGAGAAAGUGGACACAGGUGCUGCAUGGCUGUCGUCAGCUCGUGUCGUGAGAUGCUGGGUUAAGUCCCGCAACGAGCGCAACCCUUGUCUCUAGUUGCUACGAAAGGGCACUCUAGAGAGACUGCCGGUGACAAACCGGAGGAAGGUGGGGAUGACGUCAAGUCCUCAUGGCCCUUAUGGGUAGGGCUUCACACGUCAUACAAUGGUGCAUACAGAGGGUUGCCAAGCCGCGAGGUGGAGCUAAUCCCAGAAAAUGCAUCGUAGUCCGGAUCGUAGUCUGCAACUCGACUACGUGAAGCUGGAAUCGCUAGUAAUCGCGGAUCAGCAUGCCGCGGUGAAUACGU